AUUUAUUCUGGUCGGCAGAUGAUUCCACCUCACAUAUGGCUGGUGGUUUAAAGAAAGGGAAGACCAAGCAAAAGAGACACCACAUUUCUACUGAUCCCUCUAUUGGGCUGGAAAACAGCAGGGACGGUUCCCCAGCCGACAACCCCAGGAGAGAAUUCCAUACAGAGGCCCCCAACCUACCCAUACAGAUGUCUACCAACAUCUUCAUACCACACCACUCCUUCCUUUCCAAGACAGAGAGGCUUCUCUAGAUGUAGACCUGCUGCAGUUUGACCAACUCAUCAAAGGUUCAUAUAUUUAAGAUUCUACAUGAAGUAAGAAUCCCAGUUUAGACAUUCCUUCUACGAUUUUGGAUGUUCUGGUACAAGUUUGUCUUUCCAGUCUAGGAAGAAAUUUCUCUUCGUUCCAGUUCAAGUUUAUUCUUACAGCUUCAUCAAAGAAAAGAGGAAGUUGGUUUAUUCAGUUGGGACAUUAUACUACUGGACUAUCCUGUGAUUUGCUACUGGCCAAACUCAAUUUACAUAUCUUUCUUGGCAACUGUAUUUUAACUCUUUGUUUGCUGUUGAAGUAGUAAA